rnacentral:rRNA from 1 species
CCCUUAGAUGUUCUGGGCCGCACGCGCGCUACACUGACGAAGUCAGCGAGCAUGUCCUACGCCGAUAGGUGCGGGGAAUCUUGUGAAACUUCGUCGUGCUGGGGAUUGAUUAUUGAAAUUAUUGAUCAUCAACGAGGAAUUCCUAGUAAGCGCAAGUCAGCAGCUUGCGUUGAUUACGUCCCUGCCCUUUGUAUACACCGCCCGUCGCUACUACCGAUUGAAUGGUUUAGUGAGAUCUUCGGAUUGGUGCCACCGAGUCCAGCAAUGGACACGGUGAAUAUCGAAAAGUCGAUCAAACUUGAUCAUUUAGAGGAAGUAAAAGUCGUAACA